GACGAACGCUGGCGGCGCGCCUAACACAUGCAAGUCGAACGAGCGAGAGAGAGCUUGCUUUCUCGAGCGAGUGGCGAACGGGUGAGUAACGCGUGAGGAACCUGCCUCAAAGAGGGGGACAACAGUUGGAAACGACUGCUAAUACCGCAUAAGCCCACGACCCGGCAUCGGGUAGAGGGAAAAGGAGCAAUCCGCUUUGAGAUGGCCUCGCGUCCGAUUAGCUAGUUGGUGAGGUAACGGCCCCCCAAGGCGACGAUCGGUAGCCGGACUGAGAGGUUGAACGGCCACAUUGGGACUGAGACACGACCCAGACUCCUACGGGAGGCAGCAGUGGGGAAUAUUGCACAAUGGGGGAAACCCUGAUGCAGCGACGCCGCGUGGAGGAAGAAGGUCUUCGGAUUGUAAACUCCUGUUGUUGAGGAAGAUAAUGACGGUAC
rnacentral:rRNA from 1 species